CACGUAGGCGGCUUCUUAAGUCGGUGGUGAAAUCCUGGAGCUCAACUCCAGAACUGCCUUCGAUACUGGGAAGCUCGAGUCCGGGAGAGGUGAGUGGAACUGCGAGUGUAGAGGUGAAAUUCGUAGAUAUUCGCAAGAACACCAGUGGCGAAGGCGGCUCACUGGCCCGGUACUGACGCUGAGGUGCGAAAGCGUGGGGAGCAAACA
rnacentral:rRNA from 1 species